GGGCACUUCUGUUCUCUCCACUCCCUCAGCAAUGGCCUCUUGUCAGCCUCUGCUGUGUGUUUGUGGGAAGUCAGUGUUGGCACGACCCGCCCUCACAUCUGAGCCCCCGUGUGGAUCCUCAGCAGUCGUCAACCUCCCUAUCCAUCAUCCUCCUGACCCUUGUCAAUUUGCCCACCGAACGGCCACUGUGCCAAGUGAGGGUCCGAGAGCAACACGAGACACAGUCCUCUCCAUUGCUGUACAAAGUCACAGUCCGAAAACACCUUGACCGAAGACAGCUUCUAGCUGGAAGAACUCAUUCGGAAAGUCCAUGCUGGCAAGGAAAGCAAAGUGGGGGGAGCCGAGAGGCUGCAGCUUCAACCACAACCAGAAAGCAGAGGCAGCGCGGACUGAGACUGAGGGGAGGGUAUACAUUCUCAAAGCCCUAACCCCAGUGAUGUAUUUUUUUUCCAGAAAGCUUGUACAUCUUAAAGGGUCCAAAUAACACCACUAACUAGGGACUGAGUGUUCAAAUAUGUGAGUCUCUGGGGGUUGAACCAGAAUUCUAGAAGCAAAUUUCUUUCUUCCUUCCUUCCUUCCUUCCUUCCUUCCUUCCUUCCUUCCUUCCUUUCUUUCUUUCUUUCUUUCUUUCUUUCUUUCUUUCUUUCUUUCUUUCUAAAAAAUUGAAAAUAGAUUCUUCUCUCAUACAGUACAUCCCGUCCACAGUUUCCCCUCUCCAGGCCUCCCAGCUCCCCUCCAUAUCCCCUCUUACUUUAAUGAGAUGCUUAUAAAUCCAGUUACACAGUGCCGGGGGCCUAAUUCCCUCCAUCAGCCCACCCACCACACACGUAGAGGAAUCCAGGGUGCUCACACCAGACACUCAGGGUCACAGAAGCACAAUGAGCCCAGCGUUCCCACAUGCCAGGACUUGGCACACUCAUCACUCCUGCUCCGUUAUCUAUGAGAAGAUAGAGCCACGUUGUUGCCAUCCCAUUUGACAGGAGGGGAGACUGAGGUAGAGGCUCACUGACACCGUGAAGUCAGACAGCCAGAAUUUGUAGCCCGAGUUUCUGAGUCUGAAGCCUGCCAUCACUCAGGCUACUGCAGAGGUCAAACUUGUACUGUGUUUUUGUUGGGGUGCACGUGAGUAUGUGUGGGUGUAGGUGUAAGUGUACCUGUGUGUGUGUGUGUGUGUGUGUGUGUGUGUGUGUAUGUAUGUGUGUGGAGAACGGAGGUCUACCCUGAGUGUUAUUCUCAUCUUGGUUUUUGGGACAAAGUCUUUCCUCGUCCUGGCGUUGAGCUAGGAGACAAGGCUGGCUGGUCAGUGACCACUAGAGAUUCCUUGUGUCUCUGCCCCCCUGGGCACUGGGAUCUCCUCACACCAGGCUUUAUUUCCG
rnacentral:lncRNA from 1 species